UGGAAAUGGCUGCUCUCAGACUAAGAACAAGAAAAUACUCGAAAACCCUGAAGAACAGUAUUGUCUUUACUUACAGAAAAACACAAUUGAGAAAGACGAAGAGGAUAAAAAUGAUGAAAAGAAGGAGCAGAUAAUUAAUCGGGGAAAGGAAGAUGAGAAUUAUGAUCAAAACUGUGAAGGAAAGAACAAAAAAUAUGGGAAGAAAGUAAUUGUAAAAGAAAACAAAGGUGAGGGAAAACAGAUGGCAAGUUUGCAUACCCGGAAACAUCAGCAGAAAUUGAAGGAUAAGGAAGAAGAGGUUGGAAAUGGCUGCUCUAAGACUAAGAACAAGAAAAUUGAACAGGAGGAUAAAAAAUGCAAGCCUUUGACAUUAGAGGAAUUUGUACAGGAAAGAUUCAAAUCCGUUGGAGAACGGUUGAAAUUCUGCAUUGUAAAUUUGUACACGCAUUUACCAACUUCUUUCAUUCCAUUGGAAUUGGUGAAAAACAUGAGAAGAGCUCUUGGUUUGCUGAGAUCGCUUGAAACUUUGUUGCUUAGAGUCAACAUUGCCAAUGAAGGAUUAAAGCAGGUUCUCAAGGAACAUGAGGAUGUAGGAAGCAGAAUUGAUAACCAUAUGAAGUUGAGAAACACAAUGAAAGAAUGUCUCAAGACAAUAAAAUUACUUCCUCCAAAUUUCCCUGUUCCAAAUUUUGCCAAUACUUAUGCGAUAAGAGAAUUUUGCUUGCAGAAUGCAUCCCUUCUUUUCUGUACUACAUCAAGCUCUGUUAAAUUGCACACAGAAGGAAUGAAACCUCUGCAUUUCCUGGUUAUUGAUGAAGCUGCACAGCUUAAAGAAUGUGAAUCAACCAUUCCCUUAAAACUCUCUGGCCUUCACCAUGCUAUUCUUGUAGGAGAUGAAAGGCAAUUGCCUGCAAUGGUUAAUAGCAAGAUUUCUGAGAAGGCUGGAUUUGGAAGAAGUUUGUUUGAGAGGCUUGUAAAGUUGGGAUACAAGAAGCACCUCCUCAACAUUCAAUAUAGAAUGCAUCCAUCCAUAAGCUUAUUCCCAAAUAGGGAGUUCUACGGCAAUCAGAUUUUGGAUGCUCCAAAUGUCAAAGAAAUAAGCCAUAAGAGAUGCUUCCUUAAGGGAAAUAUUUAUGGUUCCUAUUCUUUUGUAAAUAUAAUUCAUGGGAAAGAGAAAUUUGGUGAGUUACAGAGUUUGAAAAAUAUGGUUGAAGUUGCAGUGAUUGCUGACAUAGUUGCAAAUCUGUUUGAAGAAUUCAUUGGCUCAAAGAAGAAGGUGAGCAUAGGUAUCAUAUCACCAUAUAAGGCUCAGGUUCUUGCAAUUCAAGAGAAGAUUGUAAAAUACAGUUCAAAUUCUGACGGGGAUUUCUCUGUGAGUGUUCGCUCUAUUGAUGGCUUUCAAGGGGGUGAGGAGGAUGUGAUAAUUUUCUCCACUGUUAGAAAUAACAACAAAGGAUCGGUGGGUUUUCUUUCAAGCUGUCAAAGAGCAAAUGUGGCAUUAACGCGAGCAAGACAUAGCCUUUGGAUAUUGGGAAAUGAAUCAACUUUAAGUAAGAGUGGCUCUAUUUGGAGGAAGCUGGUCAGUGAUGCCAAGGAAAGGGGAUGUUUCUAUAAUGCUAAUGAGGAUAAGAGACUGGCUCAGUCUAUUAUCGCUGCACUGCUAGAGCUUAACAAACUUGAUACUUUACUGCAAAUGGAUUCUGAUUUAUUCAGAAUGGCUAGAUGGAAGGUUUUCUUCAGCGACAAUUUUCGGAGAUCUAUGGCAAAACUUGAGGAUGUUGAAAUUCGUAAGGAGGUGAUUUCUCUCUUAGCAAAGCUUUCAAAUGGUUGGCGUCAAUCUGGGAAGAAGAAAAGAAUGAAAAGCCAAGAUGGGAGUUCUUCUCAAUUGUUAGAGCUAUAUGGGGUUAAUAAGCAGCUAAAUGUUGCUUGGAGUGUGGAUAUUUGGGAAGAGAAUUCAUUUCAGAUUCAAGUCUUGAAGUUUUGGGAUGUUUUGCCUUUAUCUGAUAUUCCAAUGCUAUCAAAGAGUCUUGACAAGUUGUUCAAAAAUUAUACCAAGGAAAAGAUGAACAGCUGCAAAUACAAAUGCAUGGAGAGGAAUUUGGUUGUGCCUAUGAGAUGGCCAGUGAACUCAUCUGGUGUUAAAGGAACUGCUUCUGGAGCUGAUCCUUUGCAGCUGACAAAAUCACUUGAAUCACUCAGUCUAAGAGAUGGAUCAAGUUCUUCCAGCACAGCUCAUAAGUAUGUAUAAAGGUUGAGGAUUAACUGGAAGAAAUGGCUAUGCACAUAAAAUACUGAUGUACACUCACCUACUUAUAUAUAGCUUAUGCACGAAUUGGCCAAAGUUAGAACUUAAAAUCAAUAUCUAAAUAUACUUAUUGGUUUUAAUUAUGAACAACUCGUCUAAAUUCCUUACAUGUAAAAUUAAGGGUAAACUACAAUUUAGUCCCUAAAGUUUGGUAAAACCUACAACUUAGUCCCUAUAGUUUUAAAACCAAACAAUUUAAUGCUUGACAAUUUUAAUAAAUAUACAAGUUAGUCCCUGACUCCCUAAGGUGUGGUUUAACCUAUAACUUAAUCCAUGUAGUUUUAAAACUAAACAAUUUAGUUCUUCACAUUGAAACUUACAAGUUAGUCCACAACAUUUGAAUUAUCAUUAAUUCCCCAUUAGAUUUCGAAAAAUGUCCAAAAUGCAUUUAACUUUAUUUUCAAUCCGAGAACAAUUAGUCCUUGAUGUUUUACUUUAUUAACAAUUUGCUGUCAAG
rnacentral:misc_RNA from 1 species